AGAGCAGAGCUAUGGGCAAAAAGCUUCACAGAAGGCAGAGGGCUGGCCAAUCUCUCUCUGACAUUGAAAAACCUUCACCAUCUUUUCCAGCUCUGCUGGGGGACGUAUUGGAAACAUCCUCGUUUUGACCAGUACUCUGGUACCUAGCCGGACCCCCCACCCCCGGCAGGUUAGCUGCCAUGGGGAAGUCCCUUCUACCAGCUCCACAUCAACCUGUGCGGCUCUACGGGGGAAGCAUCACAAACGGACCAGAAUCAGGGGCAGUCGGAGAGAAAUACCUGUAGUCUCGCUGCUGAGCGCUGUCCAUAGGUUAAGGCAGAAGGACCAUGGCUAGAACCACGCUCAGAGCACAAGGACACGCUGUCCAAUCAGAGACAGCCCAGGGGACCAGCAGUGCUGUCAGCGCCACUAGAACUACAGCUCAGCCCCAGCAGCAUGGUUCAAUCAACGGCCAGACCUGGUGGGAGAGGAAAAGCCACUCCUCUGGGGAGCAGAAUGAGAGCUCCCCAUAAGGGUGAGACGCAUGGCCUUGGAAAGACAGGGCAGGAACACAGGCAACCAGAGGCUUCUCUUCAGCUGGCAAUCCACAUGAUACCAGGGUCUCCAGAGAAACAGUCCCAUCUCGUCAGAGAGGAAGAGCCCAGAUCCUGGAAUUCUUCACACAGCUCCUCACAAACUUCAGAGCCAAAGUAUCUAAUUGGAGGCUUCAGUGCCCCCCACCAAAAUAAAAAAGUGUUUGACUCCCUAAAGACAGUGUCUGUGUAUCCCGUGUGUGCCUGAAUCCAAACGGGAAAAUCCCUGUGGCACCACAGACCAGUGUCAACAUCCUCAACUCUUCCAUGGGAUUUCAUUCUGAUGUCAAGUGCGGACACAACAGGAGGCCAUGGCUGGCUAUCAGGAGAAGAUGGCCGUUUUCACACAAAGUCAUAGGGAAUCAGCCCACAACUCUGAGCGUUUGCAUGUGCACACAGCACAAGAACCUGCAUAGCAACUUGAAGGUUGCAGACAGCCAGGAAAUACUAGAGACAAGGCCCCAGCAACAGUGAUAGGUUGGCUAUGUUGCAGGUCCUACAUGUUUUGUAGGAUGCAUUUUAUGACCCCAAUAUAUUGAGCUGCAUAUUUAACAAGAAAAGAAUCAGACGUUGCAUAUGUGCAGCAUAGCUGGGCUAAUGCUGCUCACUGCAUUGCCAUUCUAACAGUACCAACUUAACAUUGCAUUAGCAGGUUUCUGCACCUAAAUUCCUAGCUUUCUUUCUGAAAGAGGAUAAAUCCUGAGCUUGUCAGCUUGUAAGGCUUACAGAUCCCCAGGCCGUCACCUGCAGCAUUUGCAAGCUCCUUUCUCUACAAUACAUUAUACAAGAUCUGCUGGCUUCAUAAUCAGUAGAUAAGCUCAAAGCCACAAAAUUAUAAUGGUUUAGCAAUAAAUGCAGAUCAAGUAACACAGAAGGAAGGGACUGCUCCCGCAUCAAGCUAACUGGUGUCUUUACACAAGGUGAGAGCUUCCAAUCUUAUCUGCAAGACAACUCAGUAAGUCUUUGCUACAUGUAACAGAUGAAUGGCUAGAUACACAAGACAGCCCAGCCACCAUCUAACUUCCAGCUGCAAGCUCCUCUCCUUACUUCUACAGAUUAGCAAAUAAAUAAAUCACCAAAAGAGAAGCUCAGUGACUUUUGCAGUCCUCCCCACUUUGCUCGGGAGCAGGGCAGGACUGAAAAAUUGCUUUCUGCCUAGGAAAAGCCAGCACAGGACAAGCUCUGGAGUCUGUAACACACAGACGCUGGUGUAAAGUCACAUGUCAGACAUCGUUAAUGCUGAGAGAGCUCUUGCAUCUUUGAGAAGGGAAACAAAAUCCCUCUGACCUGAAUGAAGGGUGUCUGACGCCACAGUCCCUUCUCUGCCCCAAUCCCAUGCUGGCAACCAGUCACCACAAAUCAAACAGGAAUACCACCCCUUGAGGCCCGAGUUAUAAAAUCCUGCACAGGUCACAAGUGAGAUUAAAUUUGGGGAUCUCUUCUUGAGCUCAUGUGAGUGUUUGUCUUGAUUGUUGGUUGGUUCCAUCUGCUCUGAGAAGACACGCAGGACAGCAAUAGCAGCUGCUGCUCAACAGCUCAACCAGAGUUGCUCAAUCACUGGCUCCCUCUAGAAUGAGGAAGGGAGAAGCACAAAGCACUUGUGAACCAGAGUUCACCUGAGCAGAAGAUGCUAAAAGAGGGUAUUCUGCAGGAAAGCCCAAGGCUGCAUCAGAACUGCUGGCAGGUGAGAAGCCUUGCCUGUAUCCAGAAAACCCCCAGAGCAGCAUGAGAUUUCGGGGCUGGGGUACAAACCAGGCUCGGUGGAAGGAGAUAAGCCAGUUUCACAACGGCAGUUCAGUGAAGCACAUACACAUUGUGAAGCCAAGCAGGGCACAGCUGGGUCCCCACUCAGCCAAAGCGCUGCAGCAAGCAGAGGAGAGGGACGUGUCACUGCCCAUCCCCAGGAAGUGAACUUGUUACUCCUUCCCCACCUCACCAGCAGACACUGUCCGGCUCAGGUGGGGCCUUGGAACCCUUGCGAGCCUGAAGCGAAUGCACAGGAGGAGAGCGUGUGUUGUUUUACUUCUAUUUCUUCAGAAAGACUCAAUGGUGCACGGGCAAGUGUGGUGAGAGACAGCCUCAUUGCACCGAGACAGUGAUGGCCUCCUGCUACCCGCUGAGCAGGGCCACCAGCAUCACGCACACCUCGGUUGCAGGUGCAGAAAAGAGGUGGCUGAGGACAAUGCACAGAGGACAGGCUACCUGGCAUGUCUGCACAUCCCAGUGACUGGUGCUACAGAAGCCGCAGAGCCCCAGGGGGCGCCUGGCUCUGGAGGGAGCUCAGUUGGCCGGGUGGUAGGUGGAGAAGCACUGAUCAAACGUAAGGGCAUUCCAAGUGCUUUACAUAGAGAGACCCAUACUGUCAGUGAGCUGGUCCACCAGGGGUGGGUAAAACCCCUACAAACCACCCUCAGGGCAGCCUAAACUUGAACGGCCCCUCUCCCAUGGGAUGGGAGGAUGGGAACUCCAUAGAGGGGGCUUGGAUGAGAAGACCCCAUGGCAGAAGCAAAAAAGCAGGAAAAGAUAGAUAAGCAGGCAGGGCCGGCUUUCUGACUCGCGGGGCCCAAUUGGAGUACUCGGCAGCAGUCCGGGGCUUCGGCAGCACUUCGGCAGUGGGGGUCCCUUCCGGGUUUUCCAUGGCACCGAAGGACCCCCCCCGCCACUGAAGACCCCCAGAGUGGGGCCCCCUUAGGCGCGGGGCCCAAUUCAGGGGAAUCGGGGGAAUCGGCUUAAAGCCAGCCCUGUGAGCAGGUGGCUGGAGCAUCUGCUUGAGAAUGCUGCCAGUUCCCACUUGGUCCCAUCAGAGGGGCAGCCUCAGCCCCACCAGAAUGCACCCGUCUCACGGCCACAGCCAGGCACAGCUUCCUCCUAUCCCUAAGUAGCUAAGAACAAAAUGGCAACAGAGAAGUUAGUACAUGCAGCUACACUAGCACUGCCUGUCCUCACCUCCCCUGGGCAAUGGUAACCUUGCUCCUGUUCUCAUUUCAAGAGACGCGCUAAGGGCCCUGAUAAGGGCACUUCUACAUCCUCUACCAGAUUUGUUCCUUUAGUAACUACCCAUUUUAGUCAAGUGCGUGCCAUAAAUUAGCGUGAAAGGCCCCGGCUCCCCUGUGCAGCCGAGCGCAUUUCCUUCACCACGCACUGCUUCUUGGCUGGCCAGCUCUGCAAUGGGAGAGGGAUGGGAUUACGCAGCAUUCAGUGCCAAGAAUCAGGGAGAGCAGAGAACCAACCUGGGACCUCAAGGUCAGCCAAACGGAUGUAAUUCCCCCAUAAAGCCCUGCAGACCACCAGAGCACACCAGCAGACAGCCUCUAUUCCCAGCCCGGUGAAAGGCCAAACUGGACUUCAGGAGCUUUAUUGAGGCAGCUUCAAGGAAUUAAUGGGAGAUGGGGGGGGGACCUCCCUGCAACCUCCCCAUUAAGAUCAGGGGCCCCCAGCCCCAUGAAUUUACAGCACCUUCCAUGGGGGUAAAGGGAAAGUCCUCUAGCCCCACCAACACUUA